AUUCACAAAAGUCUUAUCUUUAACAGCUGGUUAUCUCUAACAAGAAAUCUUUACACGUUAAAAACCUUAAAUAAGAUAUAUUUACAUGCUGGUUUUAUUCAAGUUACGUUGUAAUCACAUCUAAGUUAAACAUCAUGAAAGUCGCUGUAUUCGCCGUCCUCAUCUGUGCUAUGGUUGCUGUAAAUGGGGCACCAAGCAAACGAUUUCUAGAGAAUAUCAACUUCACUGGCUUAAAUCUUUGCCCAUCUCCCGCUUUGUGUUUAAUUAAUCCAUGUGCGCUAUCUACAUGUCCCGGUAAUCCUGAUGCUACCUGCAGUCAAGGAUGUACUUGUUCUGCUGUAUGGACUAAUGCUUCUGGUAAAACGGUCAACUGUUAUCGAUACUAAAAACAUUUUAAAAUAUUAUAUAUUUGUGUUUGAAAUAAAACUAAAUGAGACAUUAAUCAUGAGAUAUAAUUGGUU